rnacentral:tRNA from 1 species
GGGCGUGUGACCGAGUGGCCAAUGGUGACGGGCUGUAAACCCGUUGGCGAAAGCCUACGGUGGUUCGAAUCCACCCGCGCCCA